GAUGAAGAACGCAGCGAAAUGCGAUAAGUAAUGUGAAUUGCAGAAUUCAGUGAAUCAUCGAAUCUUUGAACGCACAUUGCGCCCCCUGGUAUUCCGGGGGACAUGCCUGUCCGAGCGUCAUUGCUGCCCUCAAGCACGGCUUGUGUGUUGGGCCUCCGUCCUCCUCCCGGGGGACGGGCCCGAAAGGCAGCGGCGGCACCGCGUCCGGUCCUCGAGCGUAUGGGGCUUCGUCACCCGCUCUUGUAGGCCCGGCCGGCGCUUGCCGACACAUCAAUCUUUUUUCCAGGUUGACCUCGGAUCAGGUAGGGAUACCCGCUGAACUUAAGCAUAUCAAUAAGCGGAGGA
rnacentral:misc_RNA from 1 species